UCCCUCUCAGUGUAGCACCUGAAGAGUUUCCAGGACUCUACCAGUUUUGACUAUGGGUGGGAGAAUCAAGCAGAGGCAUACCCAUUCCAUUCCUAGCUUGGUCAGUGGCUAGUGAGUGGAAGGCACUCUGCUACAAGU